rnacentral:rRNA from 1 species
UACGGAGGGGGCAAGCGUUAUUCGGAAUUAUUGGGCGUAAAGGGCGCGUAGGCGGCUAGAUGUGUCAAAGGUGAAAUCCCUCGGCUCAACUGAGGAACUGCCUUUGAAACUGUCUGGCUUGAGGCCGGGAGAGGGUAGCGGAAUUCCCAGUGUAGCGGUGAAAUGCGUAGAUAUUGGGAGGAACACCAGUGGCGAAGGCGGCUACCUGGACCGGUUCUGACGCUGAGGCGCGAAAGCUAGGGGAGCAAACGGG